rnacentral:rRNA from 1 species
GUGAUCCGGAUCGAGGACAGUGUAUGGUGGGCAGUUUGACUGGGGCGGUCUCCUCCUAAAGAGUAACGGAGGAGUACGAAGGUGCGCUCAGACCGGUCGGAAAUCGGUCGCAGAGUAUAAAGGCAAAGCGCGCUUGACUGCGAGACAGACACGUCGAGCAGGUACGAAAGUAGGUCUUAGUGAUCCGGUGGUUCUGUAUGGAAGGGCCAUCGCUCAACGGAUAAAAGGUACUCCGGGGAUAACAGGCUGAU